GGGAGCAUACCAGUUUCUUUUGAAAAUUCCUUUUGGAAUUCCAGGUGCAACUGUGGAGUUGCUUGGCUUCAUUUUUUUUUCUGCAAGUUCAGUUCCUGUCCCCUCGUUUGCAGCUCCCAACGCCUCAGUCUUCACCUUCUGAUAGAAGUAUUUUCUUUUUCCUUUUCACUCUUCCCUUCCUGAUAGUUGGCUACCGGGCUGCGUGCCGUUGGCCAUCCUGGGCUGUGUUUUAUUUUAUUUGCUCCCCUCUCUCUUGUCUUCCUCCCUUUCUGCAUCUACCCCUGUGGGCUUCUGCUUGAAGUCACAGCGCAUAGGCAUACCUUCUGGCUGGAGCCUGGGCUCUGGCCCCUUGUAGCUGUGCCCACCCAGCCCCUGCCCUUCCCCUGGACCAAGGAGACCAGAAGGGGGCAGGCUGUUCCCGAAGUCCAGCAUAGCUGGAGCUUGGGUUGCAGGCAAGGAGAAGACCAGACCGAUUUGCAAGCCACAGAGGCCCUUGCAACCCGUGCCGGGAAGGAGCAUCCAGUUUUGCAAGGAGACAGAGUCAGAGGGCACAGGGACGGCAAUGAGAUGGGCAUGUCCAUCAGAGAUGUGCAAGCGUCCGAUUUCCGCUCAGCCUCUCGCCUGUUAGAAUGAUCGAGCCGAUUGCAGCUGUUUGGUGGCCGGCCGUGGCCCUGAUUUUCCCCUGGGUCUCCAGGAAGCUGUGGAUUUUAUUGUCAUCUCAGGCUUCGUUAUAUGGGGAGGGGAUAUACCCGGGGCCAGAGGGUGCUGUCAGAAAGAUCAGCUCCAGUCUGGCAGGCAUUGUGGAGAAGAUGAAAGAGAGUCCGGUGUGAAUGUAAAGAAUGUUUCUUUUCUUUCCCUUGGUGAAUCCCUGGAAGACCUCACAGUUUACUCUUUGUGCCCUUGGAUAAACUGCUACUAAGUUUCACUUAAGAAAUCUGAUUUUGUGUGUGUGUGUGUGUGUGUGUGUGUGUGUGUGUGUGUGUGUUUUCCUCCUCCACAUACGCAUAGACACACUGCACUCUUGAAGUUUGAUUUCUUUCUUUCUUUUUUUAACUGACUCAUUUGAAAUGUUGGUUUUUCGGCAUGAAAUUCCUCAUACUUCGCAUUACUCGGAUAACUCAGAGGGCUUUUGCAGACAGUGGCAGUGACUUUGAAAAAGCCAGUUCACAGCAUCCAGACUGCCCCCGGCUUCCAGCAGGCUUGGAGGCGUAGCUUUUCUUUCUGUCCAAAUGUUUUGGGACCAAGAGGACAGAGGGUAUUUUACUAACUUUUUUUUUUCUUUUUUUAUGUCUUGCUCUCAAUGGAGUUUUGUUUUGUCGGAGCAAUGCGUCACACUUUGUAUACAGAAAUGUGUGUCAUUGGACCCAUUUAUCUUACUGCAAAGGUUCCUACCUGCUUCAUCGUAGACUAGAAAAUGUUAAAGGGAAUAAAGUGGGGAUUAUUACCAACAUAUAUACAUACACAAGAUGAAAUAAAAUAUGAUACAGCGUUACAGGA